rnacentral:rRNA from 1 species
AUUGAACGCUGGCGGCAGGCUUAACACAUGCAAGUCGAGCGAGCGGCGGACGGGUGAGUAAUGUCUGGGAAACUGCCUGAUGGAGGGGGAUAAAUACUGGAAACGGUAGCUAAUACCGCAUACCAUCAGAUGUGCCCAGAUGGGAUUAGCUGGGAGGGGGGGUAAUGGCUCACCUAGGCGACGAUCCCUAGCUGGUCUGAGAGGAGGACCAGCCACCCUGGAACUGAGACACGGUCCUGACGCCUGCGGGAGGCAUCAGUGGGGAAUGUUGCACAAGGGGCGCAAGCCUGAUGCAGCCAUGCCGCGUGUGAGAAGAAGGCCUUCGGGUUGUAAAGCACUUUCAGCGAGGAGGCGUUACUCGCAGAAGAAGCACCGGCUAACUCCGUGCCAGCAGCCGCGGUAAUUC